CGAGGAGGCCGCCUGGCGGGGAGGGUGUGAGGGGCGGACUCGUCUCCUCCAGAACUUUCUGUCUUUCCCUGGGUUUAUCCAUCUCCUUCACCGAGUCUCUCCCCUUUCCCUGCCUCGCUCUCGCUCUCUGCCUGUCUCCCAGUCUCUGCCUCUCACUCUGUCCUUCUCUCGUCCUCUGUGUCCCUCUAUUUCUCCUGUUUUGGCUGCCAGUGUUUCUGUCCAGCCCCUGCCCCCACGUCUCUUUGUCUCUCCCUAAGACUCUGCUCCUCUGUCUCUAUCCCCCUUGGUCUCUCUGACACCCCCCUCCCCGCCUCUUCCCGUAACUCUGUCAGUCUGUCUGUGUCCCAGACCCUCCCUCCCUCCCUCCCCCCGCCCUCUCCCCCGCCCCCCAGCCAGCCGCGAAGUUUGUGAGAAGCCCGGCGUCCAAGUGGAGACGCGGUUUUCCCAGGGACCCCCUCCCCGGCUGAGUUUAAAGUGCAGAAAGAGGGGGGCGAGGAGCUGGGGGUCUGGAAGUGGAAGUCGGGGGGGGGGGACGGCUGCGUCUCUGAGGGCCCCGAUAAAGUGGCCGUUCGCGGGCCGGCAGCGCUGUGAUUAGAAUAUGAAUGGGGCUCUGCAGGCGGAAGAGAAAGGCGGAUUACCCCGGGUGCUUUGACCAUGGACAGAGGCAGCGCCGGCCCGGCCGCGGAAGGGGCGGGGCGCGCGGGCGGGGUCCCUAACGCCUGGCGAGGGGGGUCUCUAACCCAGGACCCCAAGCUGGCCGCAAGCAAGCCCAAGGCCCAGAACCGAGCCAGGCGUUCUUUCCAGCUGCGACGGUUGACGACCGGAAAACCGAUGACAACCUGUGGCGACCGAAGGCGAUUGUCGCACGUCGUCGUGGUGUGCCUGGCGGUGAAGACAGCGGGAUUCGGAGUCCAGGGAUCUGAGCGUCUGGGUCUACCUCACGGAUUUCUCCUUGAGCGGAGUGGGACGAAUGAUAAAAGCCCACCUUCGGCCGCCUGCAGGCCCAACGGGAGGUGGAAGACUGGCCAGGAGCUCGAUCAGCAUUUAUUGGCCACCAUGAACAACCCAUCCCCUGGCCUGACUGGAAGCAGGUGACACAGACCCACAAGAGCACAGGUAUCAAACAUGCCCUGCGGUGAAGAUUCUCACCACCUUUUUCUGUUCCCUUCCCUUUACUUUUUAUGGAGAUUUCCCUCCAAUAAAUUUCUAUUGUGUCCCAUCUUGUUUUGGCUCCUACUUCUUAGAAGACCUGAAACAGGAAUAAUUUACAUACGGUAAGAUGCUCAGAUCUUGUGUACUGUUCCAUGAGGAUGAGAAAUGCUUCUCAUGCUGUGUAUCUCAGUCUGCCAACUACACUUGCUCACUCAAGUGGUCAUUAGAGGACCAUUUCAAUGGUCAUUAGAGGACCAUUUUAAUGAAAAUCCUUAGGUGAGUAUAUGAUCACUUUAUCUAUUGAAGUAUGUUUUAUAAAAAUAUAGCAUCCUUUUGGUCAUAUCUAUUUGUUCUGAUAACAUCACUACAUUUUUAAAAAUUUCGCAUUUUUCUGAUUUGACUUUCUCCAUCCCCAUGGUUUUAAUCUUUUUAUAACCUUUUGCUUUAAGGCUUUCUCUUGUAGAUAAGUCCUUCUGAGUCUUUAGACUUUUAUACGGAGUUUGAUCUAUUUCUACUUACUGCAAUUACUCUUACAUUUAAAUUCUUAAAAAAAAAAAAACCAUCAGUAUUUUUUCAUGUAAUCUAUCUACCAUACUUUCUUUCUUUUUCUUUUCUUUUCCUUUCCUGUUACUUUCCAUUACAAAGGGGAAAAUUAAACCAAGUUUGGGUUUAGUAGUUAUGAGCAACCAUCAGGAGAAUAAAAUUGAAUGUAUAAGGGGCACCUGGGUGACUCAGUGGGUUAAAGCCUCUGCCUUCAGCUCAGGUCAUGAUCCCAGGAUCCCGAGAUAGAGCCCUACAUCGGGCUCUCUGCUCAGCGGGGAGCCUGCUUCC
ensembl:lincRNA